AACGAACGCUGGCGGCAGGCCUAACACAUGCAAGUCGAGCGAGGACUUCGGUCCUAGCGGCGGACGGGUGAGUAACGCGUGGGAACGUGCCCUUUGCUACGGAAUAGCCCCGGGAAACUGGGAGUAAUACCGUAUGUGCCCUUCGGGGGAAAGAUUUAUCGGCAAAGGAUCGGCCCGCGUUGGAUUAGGUAGUUGGUGGGGUAAUGGCCUACCAAGCCGACGAUCCAUAGCUGGUUUGAGAGGAUGAUCAGCCACACUGGGACUGAGACACGGACCAGACUCCUACGAGCGGCAGCAGUGGGGAAUCUUAGACAAUGGGGGAAACCCUGAUCUAGCCAUGCCGCGUGAGCGAUGAAGGCCUAAGGGUUGUAAAGCUCUUUCAGUGGGGAAGAUAAUGACGGUACCCACCGAAGAAGCCCCGGCUAACUCCGUGCCAGCAGCCGCCGUAACAC
rnacentral:rRNA from 1 species